rnacentral:lncRNA from 1 species
UCCUGGACAUGAGCCCUGUGUGGUUUUAGUCUUAAACGUGUGUGGGUACUGGGUUUGGGGUGCUUAGUUGUUAACUUAUUUUAAUAAAGCACGCAGAGUGGAAUUCCAGCAGCAUUCUCACAGAUAAUAUCUAUCUGUUUGUUUGUCUGUCUAUCUAUCUAUCUAUCUAUCUAUCUAUCUAUCUAUCUAUCUAUCUAUCUACCUACCUAUUAUCUGUCUGUUUGUCUAUCAUUAUCUAUCUAUCUAUCUAUCUAUCUAUCUAUCUAUCUAUCUAUCUAUCUACAUAUCUAUCAUCUAUUUAUCUAUUAUCUAUCUACAUAUCUAUCAUCUAUCUAUCUAUCUAUCUAUCUACAUAUCUAUCAUCUAUUUAUCUAUUAUCUAUCUACAUAUCUAUCUAUCUAUCUAUCUACAUAUCUAUCAUCUAUUUAUCUAUUAUCUAUCUACAUAUCUAUCAUCUAUCUAUCUAUCUAUCUAUCUAUCUACAUAUCUAUCAUCUAUUUAUCUAUUAUCUAUCUACAUAUCUAUCUAUCUAUCUAUCUAUCUACAUAUCUAUCAUCUAUUUAUCUAUUAUCUAUCUACAUAUCUAUCAUCUAUCUAUCUAUCUAUCUAUCUACCUACCUACCUACCUACCUACCUACCUAUUAUCUGUUUGUCUAUUUAUCAUUAUCUAUCUAUCUAUCUAUCUAUCUAUCUAUCUAUCUACAUAUCUAUCAUCUAUCUAUCUACCUACAUAUUUACAUAUCUAUCAUCUAUCUAUCUAUCUAUCUAUCAUCUGUCUAUCAGUCAUUUAUCACCUAUUUUUCUUUCUAUCUUCUAUCUUUGUUUCUAUGUAUCUAUGUCCUCUCUCUCUCUCUUUCUCUCUCUCUCUCUCUCUCUCUCUCUCUCUCUCGAGCGCGCAUGCUCUCUCUGUCUCUCUCUGUCACGAUUCGGAAGAAUAGCAGUGAGAGGCUUUUCAACAGUCUUCCCAGCACAGGUGACUUUAUAGAAGCAAUGUGAAGCCAUGCUUGGUGACUCUAAACAAUGAUUUACUUUAGCAGUCAGGACUAGAGCGUGGGAUGGAAAGGGAAGCUUUCUUCCUCAUGGCUAAAACUUCUUCGUUGUUGGGAUAGAAUCAUGCAAGGAUAUUAAAUUGGUUGUAAUUCUCUUAACAUCUUCAUUCGUAGCUGGGUCUUGAGUAGGAGCACAUUAAAAACGGCUGUAAACUCCUGACUGAAGGUUGUGAUUUGUGGGUGGCGCCACCUACCGGUGAGCACCAUGCUUUGUUUUGCUUGACUAGUAGAUUGACUUUCACAUCCAUUUGCUGUGUUCUCUAUAGGUGUCACGUCACUGAGAAGAUAUACAGUGCUUUUUAUUAAUUCAUAAGGUGACCCACUCUCCUGGUUUGCCAGGUUCUGAAGGGUUUCCAGGAAAUGGAUGUUUCAGGACUAAACUGACUGGGAUUCUGGACAAUUAGUCACCAUAUUUAAAUUUUUAAAUUUUGAAAUAAUUAUAUUCUUGGCAUUUUAUUAAUUCUUUGAAUUUAAUUCAGCUUAUUUUGUCCAAAGCCAUUCCUUCCCCUCUCCCCCAGCUCCUGCUGAUCCACACUCCACCUCCUCACCUGCCCCAACGUCAUGUCUUCUUCUUUUAUUUUUAAUAGCUCAGAGAGUCCAAUUUGUGCUACCCAUAUACCUGUGAGUGUGGGGUCAUUAAUGAGUGCGUUUGACCUACUAGGGACACAUCCUUAAAGAAAACUGACUUUCCCUCCCCUAAAACCGCUGGCUCUGCGUAGCUCUUAGCUAUACAUUAGGGCUAGGAGCCCCUCCCCAUUCCCUGCUAGUUGGCUGGCUUGAUCCAGUUCAGGUCUCGUGCUGGCACGCACUGCUGCUCUGAGUUAAUGAGUACAAUAGCCCUGUCACGUCCAGAGCAUUGUGUUGCUCCAGUCCUCCCGACCUUUUGUCUCUUAUAAUCGAAAUAAUUACAUUUUCACAGGAAGUUACAAAACCAAUAAGAAAGAAAACCUAUGGACUUCCACACAUCCUUCCCUGCUCUAGGGGCAAGAGUUGUUCAGUGUGGUGUGACAACUUGUUUCAGCAUCAGGGGCAAGCGCCUGUAUAAGCGUUCAGCAAAGGCUGUCGGAGGAAUGAUUAGGUAGGUCCUAUGGUGUGAGUCUUUGCUGCUGUGGUAAAACACUGGCCAAAAGCACCGUGAG